rnacentral:rRNA from 1 species
UAGGGAAUCUUCGGCAAUGGACGAAAGUCUGACCGAGCAACGCCGCGUGAGUGAAGAAGGUUUUCGGAUCGUAAAACUCUGUUGUUAGAGAAGAACAAGGACGUUAGUAACUGAACGUCCCCUGACGGUAUCUAACCAGAAAGCCACGGCUAACUCCGUGCCAGCAGCCGCGGUAAUACGGAGGGUGCAAGCGUUAAUCGGAAUUACUGGGCGUAAAGCGCACGCAGGCGGUUGAUUGAGUCAGAUGUGAAAUCCCCGGGCUUAACCCGGGAAUUGCAUCUGAUACUGGUAAGCUAGAGUCUUGUAGAGGGGGGUAGAAUUCCAUGUGUAGCGGUGAAAUGCGUAGAGAUGUGGAGGAAUACCGGUGGCGAAGGCGGCCCCUGGACAAAGACUGACGCUCAGGUGCGAAAGCGUGGGGAGCAAACAGG